CCGGAAUUCAUGUUUUUUUUGAUUAUGUGUGUCUCAGAAUGCUGCAAAUGCCAUUUCCGGGAUUCAAAUUUUAAAAUUUUCUGUGCCUUUGGCAUGAGCCCCCCCCCCCCCAAUCUUUCAUCAAGUGUCCGCCACUUGCACACGCAGUGGCUAAAUCUCGGGUCAGUCGAAAUGGGAUCUCACGUUAAGGCGGGCCAGCUCGAUUCCCAUAUAAAUUCAAAAUGAAAUUUAGUAGGAAAUAAUAAUGAAGUCAGGAUUUCGCCUAAACUGAGGGCGUCCGGGGCAGUUCGGAUAACAUUGGGCCAGGGCCAGUUCCUAGAUGCAAUAAUUGGGGUGUGUAUAUUCAUAUAUUCAAGUUCACAUACCGUAAAAACAAUCACUUUCAAAAGAAAUCCGUUGAACACGAAUAUAAUAUACACCCCCCCCCCCCCAAUUAUCACGCUAGGAACAGCCCUGCAGUGGGCUGGCUUGUCCCAUAUAAACAGCCCCUAAGCUGGGUUUAAGUUUUCAGCUAUCAGUGCAAAAAUGACACCAGGGUUGCCAGUUUGGCGUUAAAAGAGCCAAAUUUCUCGAUUUUGGCUUCUUCUGACUUCGUUUGGCUACUAAAAAUUUCGUUUGGCUUCUUUCUAUUUUUUGGCUUCUUUUUGAAUAAAUACUGAAAUAAGCAACUUUUCAAAAAAAUAGUCUGCCAUCUAUCAGUAAAAGUUAGUUAUAAACUCUGCUAUGUUUGAUCACAUUAUCUGGGAUUCCGGAUGUAUGUAAAUAUCCGAAUUAGUACCCUUUCCCCGGGCUUACGCGGUUCGCCACUUCGCUUCGAACGGCGCAAUCUAAUUCCCCGACCCUGCGAUCCUUGGGAAGGAACGCGAGGCUCUGGGAUAAUCUGUUUCAAGGAGGAAUCUGAUUGGCCG